UCCACUUGGGCUUUUGUGCUAGGAUGUUGUCACUAAGGGCCUCCACGUGCUGAAGAAGCAGGAGAAAGGGCUUUCUGGAGAAAGACAAGCGUCAUGGCCCGAGUUGGGAGAAUUUUGCCCCCGGAAGGCAAGGAGCGCUGCAGACGCACAAGAAAGAGAUGCAAAAGGAAAGCCGGGGUUUUAAGAAAUGUUGCAGUGAAUUUAGAAAUGUGAGGGGAAAACCUUCCUACUCUGAACUUCCUGCUCUGUUUGCCGGUGUGUGUCUUUGAUCGCAUCACUCCAUCAGUAUUAAAUCUUACAUCAUUUCUACAACGGGGUUUACACCUGGGAGCAGCCUGCCUGACUGCUCUGCGCAGGCGCAACUGAGGAGGGUGGAGCCUCUGGAUUCACCCGCUUCCGCCGCUUCAGGUGGAUGGAGGCUUCGUGGUCUGUUGCGCCCUGUCUCUCCUGACCUCAUCGGCAGCACUUCCCACCAGGAGAAAGGGAGUAAGGGAGAAGCCCCAUCAGCACGAUAAAGAACACGCUAUAAAAGGGAAAGUCCACCUGGGCUUCUGUGUCUGCACGUGGAAAAUGAAGCCGCGACGUCUUUCUCAGACACAGACACCGAGAGGCACCGAGCAGCCCCCCUGGGAAGGCGGCAGGCAGUGUCCAGAAGGGGUAGACGACUUCACGGCCCUGUGAGACUCUCGGCAGGCACCGGAUGUUGUGCUGGAGGAUGCUGCCACGGAGCAGGUCUCAUCUCCGAGAUGCCUCCUGCGACCUAAAGACUCUGGCAUUGAGCCACACCACUUGACACAACACCCAGACUGCGACUCACUUGCUUGCUCUUUCCAUGUCAUCGUCGUCGUCAUCACCCAGACCUCCAUCCAGGCUCUUAAGAGGCCUUCUGACGUGUGGCUGGAGAGGAAUCGACACCGUAGCAUUAGUAGUUAAUACAUGUCUCUUUCAUACAUUAAAAAACAAAAAAAAACUUUGAUUUGAAUGUUUUACUCGGCUUGGACCAGAACUGUAACGACGUUGGCACGUAAGUGGCCGGGAGGUCGCGUCUCAGGGAUGAUGACCGCUGGCACCGUCCCCUGCUUUCACGCCGGUUGUGUCCUUUAACAGGUGGUUCACCCUCGUUUCCUGAAGACUGGCAGUUACAUCCAAAGCUUGGUGAGCUUCAGCGUCUGGGUUUCUCCUCUGUUUUUGGCAAGAAUGUCCCUGAGGUGUUGAUCGUGUUUCUUAUCACAUGAAGACACACACACGCGGUGUUUGGA